CCGUAGCUCAGCUGGAUAGAGCAACAGCCUUCUAAGCUGUGGGUCGUGGGUUCGAAUCCCGCCGG
rnacentral:tRNA from 1 species